rnacentral:rRNA from 1 species
GUCUACGGCCAUGCCACCCUGAACAAGCCCGAUCCCGUCUGAUCUCGGAAGCUAAGCAGGGUCGGGCCUGGUUAGUACUUGGAUGGGAGACCACCUAGGAAGACCAGGUGCUAUAGGCG